rnacentral:rRNA from 1 species
AACGAUGUGGGAAGGCCCAGACAGCCAGGAUGUUGGCUUAGAAGCAGCCAUCAUUUAAAGAAAGCGUAAUAGCUCACUGGUCGAGUCGGCCUGCGCGGAAGAUGUAACGGGGCUAAACCAUGCACCGAAGCUGCGGCAGCGACGCUUAUGCGUUGUUGGGUAGGGGAGCGUUCUGUAAGCCUGUGAAGGUGUGUCGUGAGGCAUGCUGGAGGUAUCAGAAGUGCGAAUGCUGACAUAAGUAACGAUAAAGCGGGUGAAAAGCCCGCUCGCCGGAAGACCAAGGGUUCCUGUCCAACGUUAAUCGGGGCAGGGUGAGUCGACCCCUAAGGCGAGGCCGAAAGGCGUAGUCGAUGGGAAACGGGUUAAUAUUCCCGUACUUGGUGUUACUGCGAAGGGGGGACGGAGAAGGCUAUGUUGGCCGGGCGACGGUUGUCCCGGUUUAAGCGUGUAGGUGUGUGUUCCAGGUAAAUCCGGUUCACUUUAACACUGAGGCGUGAUGACGAGGCACUACGGUGCUGAAGCAACAAAUGCCCUGCUUCCAGGAAAAGCCUCUAAGCAUCAGGUAACAUCAAAUCGUACCCCAAACCGACACAGGUGGUCAGGUAGAGAAUACCAAGGCGCUUGAGAGAACUCGGGUGAAGGAACUAGGCAAAAUGGUGCCGUAACUUCGGGAGAAGGCACGCUGACACGUAGGUGAAGUGAUUUACUCACGGAGCUGAAGUCAGUCGAA